rnacentral:rRNA from 1 species
AGGUAGGAAUACCCGCUGAACUUAAGCAUAUCAAUAAGGCGAGGAAA